rnacentral:rRNA from 1 species
AUUGAACGCUGGCGGCAGGCUUAACACAUGCAAGUCGAACGAGCGGCGGACGGGUGAGUAAUGUAUGGGGAUCUGCCUGAUGGAGGGGGAUACCUACUGGAAACGGUAGCUAAUACCGCAUACCAUCAGAUGAACCCAUAUGUGAUUAGCUUGUAAGUGAGGUAACGGCUCACCUAGGCGACGAUCCCUAGCUGGUCUGAGAGGAUGAUCAGCCACACUUGGACUGAGACACAGCCCAGACUCCUGCGGGAGGCAGCAGUGGGGAAUAUUGCACAAUGGGCGCAAACCUGAUGCAACCAUGCCGCGUGUGUGAAGAAGGGCUUCGGGUUGUAAAGCACUUUCAGCGAGGAGGCGUUACUCGAAGAAGAAGCACCGGCUAACUCCGUGCCAGCAGCCGCGGUAAUAG